rnacentral:rRNA from 1 species
GACGAACGCUGGCGGCGUGCUUAACACAUGCAAGUCGAACGCAGUGGCAGACGGGUGAGUAACGCGUAAUCAAACUGCUCUUCAGAGGGGGACAACGGUUCGAAACGACUGCUAAUACCGUAUACUGUAGGAGGGGAUUGCGUCUGAUUAGAUAGUUGGUGGGGUAACGGCCCACAAAGGCGAUGAUCAGUAGCCGGUCUGAGAGGGUGAUCGGCCAAAUGGGGACGUGGACACGGCCCAGACUCCUACGGGAGGCAGCAGUGGGUAAACUUGGACAAUGGGCGCAAGCCUGAUGCAGCCAUGCCGCGUGUAUGAAGAAGGCCCUAGGGUUGUAAAAUACUUUCAGUCGGGAGCGUUACCGACAGAAGAAGCACCGGCUAACUCCGUGCCAGCAGCCGCGGUAAUAC